rnacentral:rRNA from 1 species
UGGGCAACCUGCCCCUCUCUCUGGGAUAACCCCGGGAAACCGGAGCUAAUACCGGAUACUCCGGCUGGAUCGCAUGGUCCGGCCGGGAAAGGUCCGCCGGAGAGGGAUGGGCCCGCGGCCUAUCAGCUUGUUGGUGGGGUCAUGGCUCACCAAGGCGACAACGGGUAGCUGGUCUGAGAGGACGACCAGCCACACUGGAACUGAGAUACGGUCCAGACUCCUACGGGAGGCA